UGUGCAACAUGUGUGGAAUAUGAGCAUUAUGCUGAAUGUCACUCCACACAUGCUAUACGGGUGUCGACUUGUGUGCAAGUGUGGCGUUCAAGAUUCUAGCGUGGCAUGUGUGGGACAAUUGCAUAUUAUUACUGGUACUACAGUAGUAGGUGUUGUAGCUAUGAAUAUGAACACAUCGUCAAGGACCAAAUGAGUUGAAAUGACACAGAGAGCAUUCCUGCAGAGGAACGUGUUACAGUUGCUCUCAGGUUUCUAGCAACAGGUGACUCCCUCCAAGAUCAAAAAUAGCCUCAGCCAUUUCCACAUGAUCGCUGUCUAAUAUAAUUCCCAAGACACGCAAAGUACUUUAUCACGAAUGUGGCCAAAGGUCAUGAAGUGGACAGGAUAAACGUUUGGAGCAAAUGGUUUAUGAAGUCCUUGACAAGUUUUCAGAUGGUGAAAUAGGGCUGCCUGAUGACAAUUCGGAUUAUAUGUCAUAUGAAAACUUCCCUAAUCAUGCCAACAUUUCAGAAGGGAAGAAAAAAGGACAAAGGAGGUGUGUGGUGUGUAGCAAAAAGUAGAAAUGUUCAACAGGAAAGACUGGAGGCAAGGACAUCUCAUAUGAGUGCACUGAAUGUAAUGUUGGAUUGUGUAUUUCCUCCUGCUUCAAAGUUUAUUACACCGUUGUCCACUAUGAAUGCUAAA